UUUAUUGUGUCUCAAUAAAUUUCAAUAAAUUACUUCACUACACAAAUACUUUCUUCCAUAUUCUCUGAAGUGUCACUGGGUGUCAGUUGCUAGCGGAACAACCACGAAGUGAUUGGUUAAUUUGUCCUGUUGAUGUUUGAAACUGAGGAAAACCAAAGACUACGUGUUGGUGCAUAAAACUUUAGUGUCUAAGAGUGGUGAUUUCUUCGAAGCAACCUCAUCUGAAAAACUUCUGGCGCCCUAAAUUACAUAAUAUAAAUUGUUUUAGUUCAUAUUAAUUUGUCAAUUUGAAUAUGUAAAGUUGGUAACAAUUUUAGGUGACGGUGGCAAUGACAAAUCUGUUUAAUUGGAGGUUUAAAAAAAUAAUUUCUAGACGCGAUGCCAUAAUGCUGUUUUUGCAAUUUAUGCAAGGUACGAGAUGAAUUAUUGAAGUCAUGGACGAUGGAACAAAGGAAAUUUCCAGAAUGUUUUAGUUUACUCAUGAAACCAAAGGUGACUGAUCAAAUCUAGCGAAUAUGAAGUGUGUUGUAAAACAAGGCUCUUUUUGGGACAUUCUGGGUCUAACAUAGAUAAUUAUCUUCAGCAAUCUGUCCAGGACCUCAAAUAAUACUGACCUACAAUCGUUUGACUUUGAUAAAGUGGGAAAAAUGGAAUAAGUAUAAACACUUAGUUUUAAAUUUUGUGAAUCAAAUAUUUAUAUACCUACUUAGUUCAGUUUUCGUAUUAUGGGUGGCACUCACCUGAGGAAAUUUAUACCAACAGUCACCUAAGU